rnacentral:lncRNA from 1 species
AUAAAAAGCUUAUAAUACUGAGAGAAAAAUAGAUUUUAAAAAAGAUAUGGUAUUAAAAUAUUAGAAAAUGUUUUUCUUUUUAGCCUGUUAUCUAUACUAAAUGUAUGGUAGCUAUUUCCUUUUUAAAUUUUUCUUUGCUCUUGAAUUUAUACAUAUGUAUAAUGAAAUACCAUAUAAUCUUAACCUUAAUUACUCAGUUUUUAUACACCUACUUCUCUAUUUCUCACAUUACUUCAGCACAUUCUUUUCCCAACUUUGUGCCCCCUUAAAUUACAAACUAAAUCUAGUUAGUACCGUUCAUAUAUGCAUGGGCACGGGACUGUUCACUGGAGCAUAAGCAUCCUACCAGUGGCCACAUCUCAAAAAUGGUUGUCCAACACUCGGCAACUUACUACCACUAACUACUCAGUAAUCCCCGACAAUACCUAUGCUGGUGUUUUGGCUGGCUUGAUCUUACGAGGACGUACGCAGGUGUCUCCAGCUGCCAUUGGUUCAUGGGUGCAUGUGUGUAUCAUAGUCACUUGCUAUGGUGAAGAGAAACCAUGACCGAGGUAACUCUUAUAAAAGAAAGCAUUAAACUGAGGGCUGGCUUACAGCUUUAGAGGUUCUCCCAUUACCAUCAUGGCGAGGAACAUGCUCAUUGCAAGCGUACUUCAUGCUGGAGAAGUAUGGGGCACAACUUGCCUGUCAGGUUGGAGUUGUAGCGUGCAGAGCAAGGGUAAAGCCAUGAUGUGUUUUCUCCCACAUCAGCCUAGGCAGCACCUUACAUCAUGGCCCAUGAUGGACAUCAGGAAAUUUCUUGCUUAUAGUUUGAUUAAUUUCUCUGUCUGAUAGCCAAAGUGUGUGUAUGCAUGUGUGUAUGUGUGCACACAUGCACAUGUUUGUGCGCGCAUGUGUGUGUACACAUGUGAGCAUGUGUGUGUAUAUGCGUGUGUGUACACGUGUGCGUAUGUAUAUGCACACGCACAUACACAUAUUGUGUUGUUUUCAUCAAUAGGGUCUUACAGUCCAGUAAAUCCUCAUGAGUAACGGGAACAAGAGCACAGCUAAAUGACAAUAGUGUCUGUGAUUUUUCAGAUUUCUGGCUUCUCCCUGAUCAAAUAACUUGUAGGGAGGCAUCUCACGACUUACACUGCAACUUAUACUUAAUAAUCCAUGAAGUCUGCCAGUGAGCCAAUUGUCGAUUGAUACUGGGUAUUCCAUUUUAACUCCUUUUUUAAAAGUUAUGUUUUGGAACUAGCUUACUCAUUAGUAGGUUUCUGUAGGCUUUUUCACACAUCAUUAAUUUUGCAUAACCUACUCCACACUGCUCUUCUCCCUGUGCCCUGCCCUCAUCCCCAUUUAAUUCAUUAACUUGCAGGAUUAUCCACUCCCACGGCAUUUUAAGUUUCACCUGUUUUCUUCUGUCCCUCCAGUUAUUACCUUUUAGCUGGGUUGUGAGAUAGGGAACGUCUAUGUGGUUUAACUUCUCAAGGUGAGCCCUCCCUCUACUCCCCCGUUUAAUCCCUGGUCACCCAACUUCCCUAUUUUAGUUUUACCUAGAGCUAAUCUCCUGCUUUCCAUCUUGCAACCACCUCCCAAAGCUGUAUCUAGUUUCCUGGUUUAUGCUUGUGCUUCAAGUUAAACACACAAAAGAGAAGGGCUGAAGGCAUGAUCUGCAUAUGAGAGAAAAGAGCAUUUGUCUUCCUGGGCCUGAGGAGUUACCUUAUUCAGUAUACUUUUUUUUCUAGUUCCAUUCAUUUAUGCAAAUUUUAUGAUGUAAUUUUUCUUUACAACUUAGCAACAUUGUAUUGUACAUAGGUGUUGUAUUUUUUUAUCCGUCCAUCUCUUGGUACAUAUAUAGGUUGAUUUCAUUCUCGAGCUAUUGUAAAUAAAAUGACAGUGGAAAUAAUGUGAAAGUGGCUCUGUAGUUGAGUAUAAAGUGUGUUAGUAGCUAUUUUUUCUAUUCUGUAAAAAACAGUUUUUUUCUACCUAAUUUUUAAGUAGAAUUUUUUAUUUUAUUUUAUUUUUUUUAUUGAUUUCAUGGGUUCAGUUUAUCUCACUGCUGAGGCUCUAUUGGUUUAG